rnacentral:rRNA from 1 species
GCAGCCGCCGCGGUAAUACGAAGGGGGCUAGCGUUGCUCGGAAUUACUGGGCGUAAAGCGUGCGCAGGCGGUUGUGUAAGACAGGUGUGAAAUCCCCGGGCUUAACCUGGGAACUGCGCUUGUGACUGCACAGCUAGAGUAUGGCAGAGGGGGGUGGAAUUCCACGUGUAGCAGUGAAAUGCGUAGAGAUGUGGAGGAACACCGAUGGCGAAGGCAGCCCCCUGGGCCAAUACUGACGCUCAUGCACGAAAGCGCGGGGAGCAAACAGGAUUAGAUACCCCUGUAGUCCCUGUCUCUUAUAC